AAUUCACAGAGCUAGAGCAGUGAAUGUGCAUACCAAGACAUUUGCACCAUAUGCAUAAAUCUGUAUCAUGUCAACAUGUCCUUGGUGAAGGAUAGUCUUCUGUGGUUUUUUUUUUUUUUUUUUUUUUUUNNUCUGUGAAAUAUCUGUGCUAUUUGUGUGUAAAAGACAAAGAAAAAAGAAAAAAAAAGGGAGGAGUUCAAAGGGAAAAUAUGAAAAUCAUUCCUGGUGUUGUAUUAUUAUGUAUUAUAACAGAACUAUAUUAUAGGUUGCA
rnacentral:misc_RNA from 1 species